GGAACAAUUCCACACCAAGAAGAAAGCGCUACACCGAUAAGUUGUUUGUUCAUCUAUUUGCAGGGCGGAUGUAAAGAGUAAACAGGAGGGGGCAGAGUACGGAGGUUUGCCUUGGGUGACAGUUGCUGUGGUAGGUCUGAUUGUAACACAUUUGAAGGGGUGUUAUUUUUAUUUGUUUUUUGGCAGCCAUCCAAAAUAAAAGUGGAAAUGCUGUGCCGCUUCAAGAGCCAAACAAGAACUAUACAGGGGAGAGGUGGAGGAGAUGGCAGAUUGGGUGAGAGGCGCCAAGAUGAACUGGACCAGGGUAAUAAGGGCAUGUACAGACAAAUCAAUGAUCAGCACAAUGUCUCACUGUAACUCAUGCAACCCUGGUAUGCAUAUGAACAGAAUAAGGAAAUGUUUAUUUUUUUUUCAGUGAGUUUGUCCUCUUGGUCAGCGGUAACAGCUAGCGUGUACUCCUGAGAGAAAGCAAACUUGCAUGGAUCUGCAACCCUGUUGCACUUUCUCCAGUUUACUCAGACUUUAGAAAUAUUAUUUGUAAUUCAAUUCUGAGAUAUAAUGUAGUUACUGUACAUAUUAGAGACGCAUUUCAGAAUUUAACUUCCUGAAUUGUGUUUUUGUAUUUUUGAAAAGUAUUUGCAUCAAUAUUGAAGGGAUGACCUGCGAUAUGGAAAUGCAUGGAGUUAAUUCUGAAGGAAAUCAGAGGUAAAAUCCCAGAUGUGACAGGUGCAUUUGUUUUUGUUUUUUGAUGCGCCCUGCACACAAUGCCAACAGUGUAUUAAAGGUUAUUAAAAGAGCACUUUGGUGUAUUGGGCAUUUAUUUGUCAGUUGUAUUUAUUUGAUCUCGAAUUAAAAGUAAUGUAGCUCAUCGUUAUUGUACUUUAUGCAACCCUGUUACCAUAUUUGAAUAGAAAAUAAUCCUAAAUGAGUCAGCUCAAAAGGGUUUGACCCAUUUUCCUUUCGAGUUUAUGCAAUUCUAUGCAAAAUGUGUGAAAUACUUAAAUGGGUAAAGUGAAACAUGGCAUUAUUGAAAAUUUGGGCAUAACAGAUUUGGAAAGUUGUUAAAAUUUCUAUCAAGGGUUUAUUCGGAGAAUGAUUUUAUUGUUGAAAAAGGAAUUGUAUUUCAGAAAUCAAUAUACUUUUUUUUUUCAGGUUGCCCUGUGUUGGUAACAGGGUUGCAACAAGUAUUGUAAACAUCCAAUAAAAUAUGAAAUAUAAAUUGUAGGCUUGAUCUGUAAGCAGCGCUAAUCAAGCCUUUGAUAGUUUAUUACCUACUGGUGAAUAUGUUGUAGAAAUUCAGUGAGUUUAUUCAAGAUUUGUAAAGUCCAAAUGUCUUCCAAUUCUGGAAUGACCCCGGUUAGGUUUUUGUGAUUGCAGGUUGGAUGAGGAGGCAAGAAAGAGAAUCAGAAGGGGGUAAUUAGUGCAAAUGUGCAUAAAUAAAGGUGACAUGCUUCAGAGUAAUGGUGUGUGUUUGUUUGGUAGAAUGGAAGGGGAUCUGGAUGAAAGAGAAGGUAAUGAAACACAUUAAGUUAAAAAAAUUAAAUAAAAAUGAAGUUGCAUGUUUUUUUUCCCUCUUUAUUUUCUUUUGCAGAGCUCGGAAGGACGUGGCCUGGGAUGAGGAAAAGGAACAAUUCCACACAAAGAAUAAAGCGGCACACAAGUUGUUUGUUCAUCUAUUUGCAGGGUGGAUGUAAAGAGUAAACAGGAGGGGGUAGAGUACGGAGCUUUGAGGUUUGCCUUGGUUGACAGUUGCUAUGGAAGGUAGUUUGGUGGUAGGUGUUAUUGUAACGAGCGCAGGCAUGGAAAGUGUCGGGAGAGCUGAUGGUUGGGUGUGGCGGUUUGGUUCAGUGGUCUUCACGAAGGAAGGACGGUCGAGGUGGUCCGCGGGUUGUUUGGCCUGUCUCGGUCCCGAGCAGCUCUUUGUUUUGAGUUGACGUUUCCAGAAUGAAAGUGGAGAUGCUGUGCUGGUUCAUGAGCCAAGCGACAACUAUACAGGGAGAGUAUGUUUUGGUUACUUUGUUUGUCUACUUCCUCACUAACUGAUUGGGUGUGCAUGCAAUAACACAGAUUUGUGAUUGUAUUUGUGUCUUGAGCUGAGCUGAAUGUGCUUGUUGCAAGCUUUUCUCUGGUACAGCUUAGUGGCUUGUGUGGGUUGACUGCAGCUACAGUUUUUUUGUGUUUGAAAAGGUCUGAUUUGUCACGAUGCUGCGCAGGCAUGCGAAGUGUUCGUAGGUCUGAUGUUGGACAGAAGUCGCUGCAGUCAAGUGUUGUCGGUAGACUUGCGAUUGUCUGGAGUUGUUUGGUUUGUUGUUAAGGACGGCAAUUUGAAAGGUGAAGUGUGCAGGAUUUUGAGGAAGGAAUUCAUAGUAUUGAUCAUUCCCCCUGUUCUUCCUUAGGGUGGAGGAGAUGCCAGCUUGGGUGAGAGGCACCAAGAUGAACUGGACCAGGGUAAUAAGGACAUGCGCAGACAAAUCAAUGAGCAGCACACAACUAAGAGCUUUCUCCUCUCCCCACCGUGGAUGAGGUUGAAUUGGCCAAAAACCCAGGAAGGGACGAGAGGCAUGAAGAGCCACUGGAUGAGGGUAAUGAGUACAGACGCGUGCAAACAGACACACCAGUGGAAGAAGCAAGUGACUACACUACAGCAGGCUUGUUUUUGUUGUUGGAGGCAACAAGGAGAACCAGAACGGGAAUGGAAGGGGAGCUGGAGGAAAGAAGGGUGAAGACCAGCAAUUGUUCAUCACCGGCACUCAGUUCCAACAUGAACAGCUUUUUCUCUCUUGAG